UGCAUUUUGAUAUACCGCGCUAUAUUAUAGCUUAUCAUAAUAUUAUCACCAUGAUGUUGUACACCUUUCUAAAACUAUGGGAUUCUAUACUCGUAUAGGUAUUUUUUGUUUUAAACGGUCAAAUGGAUGUCUGUCUAGCUGUAGUAUUGGUGAUGCAUCGUUAUCGACUUGGAUUGCACUUUUGAAACGAUGAAUAGUGAUU